GUCACUUUUUCCUCAUGCCUUUCCUGUCAGAUGUACUUUCCAACCACCGGUAUAUAUUCCUUUCAAAAAUAAGCGGAAGAAUACAGUGUUAAAUUGCUCAACUCCAAGCUAGCUAGUGUCAAUGUAUGCCUGUAGAUUGAUAGCUAUGCGUGAGAAUUAUGUGUGAGAACAGGUGUGCUCUCUGACCGGCAACACAUGGUUUUUUCACAACAUUUGAAAAUCUCAGUCAUUCACAGACAUUCCUUGGAGUAAGUAAGACAACCAAGCAAUCAUAUUCUACAAAAUCCAACAGAAGCAAUAUAGUUCUUUCUGCUUGAUUUUUCCAGGAGCAUUUGUAUCACCACCACCACCACCACCACCAUCAUAAUCAUUAUCAUCAUCGUCAACAUCAUUUUUCUGGAUUAGUUCUACCGUUUGGAUUACUUCAUCCUCCAAACUUUUAUCCACCUUAAGAGUUGUUAUUCUACUUCCUUUUAAGAGCAAAUUCGUAAUGAACUGAAGGUAAAACAGGAAAUGAUGACCUAAAGUCUGUUACUGUCACUCUUGACUUGUCAGUAAUGCCAGGUAAACUUAUCCAGGCUGGCAGCAGUAUUACUCACCAACACAAAAACCAACAACUACAACAACUUGGCCGCUAGCAACUCUUAAACAAUUACCUGCAGUGCCACAACACAACCACUUAAGUUCGCUCCUUCUCUUCAUUCUCCUCCGCCUUUCUUUACAACAGUCAAUCUCUUUACUCUUCUUACUCAUACUUCUCCUCUUGUUCAACACCCACCCACCCCCACCACCAUCAUCAUCAUCGUUAUCAUCUUCUUGGUUGUUGUCAUUGUCAUGUAUUAUUAAUAUCAUCAUCGCCGACUACGUCAAUAUUUGAUAUCUUUCAAAUGAUAACCAUAUCAACAACAGCAACCACAAUAACAAAACAGACUAUUUAAGCCCAACCAACACUGUAAACAAAAUCAAAUGUGUUGAUUUGUUGUUGACAUUAACAGAAGGGAAGUGCAGAUCGCAACGACCGACAAAGAAAAUAAUUCUAACGACAGUGAUUAUCAGAGAAAUAACAUUCUCAAGACAAACACAGCUUAUUCUAGCACCAACACGAAACAUCACAACAUAAAACAGGGGCAACAAGUUUAGACAAAGUUGUUACGGAACAUAUCUUACAGAACACAAGACACCAACUUUCUAUUCUACUUUAUUUAAAGACGAAAGGUUUUUUCUUCUUAUCAAUUUUCGAUCCAAACGGCAAAAGAAAAAAAACUGCCG